AUUGAACGCUGGCGGCAUGCCUUACACAUGCAAGUCGAACGGCAGCGCGGGCUUCGGCCUGGCGGCGAGUGGCGAACGGGUGAGUAAUGCAUCGGAACGUGCCCAGUAGUGGGGGAUAGCCCAGCGAAAGCCGGAUUAAUACCGCAUACGACCUGAGGGUGAAAGCGGGGGACCGAAAGGCCUCGCGCUAUUGGAGCGGCCGAUGUCGGAUUAGCUAGUUGGUGGGGUAAAGGCUUACCAAGGCGACGAUCCGUAGCUGGUCUGAGAGGACGACCAGCCACACUGGGACUGAGACACGGCCCAGACUCCUACGGGAGGCAGCAGUGGGGAAUUUUGGACAAUGGGGGCAACCCUGAUCCAGCCAUGCCGCGUGCGGGAAGAAGGCCUUCGGGUUGUAAACCGCUUUUGUUCGGGAAGAAAUCCUCUGGGCUAAUACCCCGGGGGGAUGACGGUACCGGAAGAAUAAGCACCGGCGAACUACGU
rnacentral:rRNA from 1 species